rnacentral:rRNA from 1 species
UACGUAGGUGGCAAGCGUUAUCCGGAAUUACUGGGCGUAAAGCGCACGCAGGCGGUCUUUUAAGUUUGACGUGAAAGCUCCCGGCUUAACUGGGAGAGGUCGUUGAAGACUGGAAGACUUGAGGCAAUGAGAGGGGUGUAGAAUUCCCGGUGUAGCGGUGAAAUGCGUAGAGAUCGGGAGGAACACCGGUGGCGAAGGCGGGUCUCUGGGCAGUAACUGACGCUGAGGAGCGAAAGCGUGGGGAGCGAACAGG